rnacentral:piRNA from 1 species
UGAUUUCCUCGUGAUAGCCUGUCGGCUAUGA